AUACGUAGGGUGCAAGCGUUAAUCGGAAUUACUGGGCGUAAAGCGUGCGCAGGCGGUUUUGUAAGACAGAGGUGAAAUCCCCGGGCUCAACCUGGGAACUGCCUUUGUGACUGCAAGGCUAGAGUACGGAAGAGGGGGAUGGCAUUCCGCGUGUAGCGGUGAAAUGCGUAGAUAUGCGGAGGAACACCGAUGGCGAAGGCAAUCCCCUGGGCCUGUACUGACGCCCAUGCACGAAAGCGUGGGGAGCAAACAGGAUUAGAUACCCUGGUAGUCCACGCCCUAAACGAUGUCAACUGGUUGCUGGGUCUUCAUUGACUCAGUAACGAAGCUAACGCGUGAAGUUGACCGCCUGGGGAGUACGGCCGCAAGGUUGAAACUCAAAUGAAUUGACGGGG
rnacentral:rRNA from 1 species